rnacentral:lncRNA from 1 species
GAGUCCCCGCUGAGAAAGCAAGCAAGGCUUUUGCACCUUCAUGCCUGUUGAGUCUGCACACUGGAUUCGUGCCCUCCUCAGAGUUCUGACUAGGAGAUGUCACAGUUGGUUGGAAUUGUUACAAAGUUUAGCUGGAUGUUUCCUUCUCACUGUGGUCUUUUUCCAGUUCUUCUGGCAGCCCUCCCCAAGGACCCCUGUGAGACAAAUCAGGAAUGGCUUCCCUGGGGCCCAAGGAGCUGACAGGGCUUUUCCUGCUGCUUCUUCUACCCCUGUAUUUCACUCAGCUUUCUAAAUGACCCAGUUCCAGAAAUUCAUCUAUCAAAUUCACAAUAGGUUGUGAAUUAAAAUGGAAAACUCUUGGAAUAAUGUAAAUGGACUGGAUGGACAUGGGGCAACUUUAAAUGCAGAUAAAUGAGACUUUUUUGCUCACCUGGAACUUCAAAAAGUGCUUACCAGAGACUGUCUCCUCACUGCUAUUUCUUAUACACAAAUUUCUUGUUGGCUUCCUGACUCAAUACUUCAAUUUAUAGUUAUCUGGUAAUUCCUCUUAAGAAACUCUCUGCAUGUUGGUAACAACUGUCUAUCCACUUCACUCAGUCCAAACAGCAGAGAGCAGCUGUUGUCAUGAGGAAAGCAAUAAGCUCACAUAAGCCUUCACCUUAUACCUCCUGAACAAAGUACUUCUGGCGUCCAGAAAAUACAAUGAUUUCAGAGAUGUCUUCUUAGAAAUAACAGAUACAGAAAUGGAAGAAGUGCAUUAUAUUGCAUUGCCAACCAAUUGCUGCAUUAUAGAUCUCACUAAAGCUCAAAGCAACCCUAUGAAACCAAUUUUGUCAUCCCUAGGGAGAAUGAAUAAUGAAACUGUGAGAAGUGAAAUAAAUUGGGUAACUUUUCUCUC